rnacentral:rRNA from 1 species
GACGGAGGGUGCGAGCGUUAAUCGGAAUUACUGGGCGUAAAGCGCAUGUAGGCGGCCGAACAAGUCAGGUGUGAAAUCCUCGGGCUUAACCUGGGAAGUGCACUUGAUACUGUCCGGCUAGAGUUUGGCAGAGGAAAGUAGAAUUCCCGGUGUAGCGGUGAAAUGCGUAGAUAUCGGGAGGAAUACCAGUGGCGAAGGCAGUCUGCUACACUACAACUGACGCUGAGGCACGAAAGCGUGGGGAUCAAACAGG